AUCCACCAUGACCAAGCUACUUCCCUCAAAAAAGAGGUUUUAAACACUUCUGAAAAGAGACCUUUGUGUCCUGGGAAGUGACCUAGGAUGUUCCUUGAGCCUCAGGAAGUAAGCAGUCAACAACCCACAAGGCUCAGGAAGGCCCUGAAGCUUGCAAGAUUGGCAAGGCCCCUCACCAACUUACAUAAUCAGGAAUUAUUGCUGAGGAGGGAACACUCUCCAAUAAUCUGGGCCACACCCUCUGUUGGAGACCUACAGCCUUUAAUCUGGACUACACCCUCUGCUGGAGAUAUAUAAGGACAUUGGAAGAAGGAAGAUUCUCUCUCACUCUUCCUUGCCUGCUUGCCCCAUGGGACUGAGAAACUGCUAGAUCCUUGGACUUCCAUCCGCAGCUGCUACUGACCAUUGUUGGGGAGUUGGACUAUAGACUAUUUCUGCAAAAGCUUCAGGCUGAGCAGCCAGCAAGUUCCCCAAAUGCCUGCCUUCUCUGCCUCACCAGAUGCAGAAGCAGCAGCAGCAAGAGGAGCUUCUGUGCCCCUCCCCCACCUUCACAUCAGCACAAGCAGAUUCAGAAGAGGAUGUGGAGUUACAGAGGCUGCAGAAGAUAAGAAUCUAUCAUCGUCAUCAUCUUGACACCCGCAAACUGGGGCCCCAGAGCCGGAGAAGAAAGAAGUCCCAGCUUGUGGGAAGUGAAUCUUAAAGAAUUCCGAGUUGAUUCUUCUGUGUGUGUGGGAAGGUUGUAACUAAAUUCAACUUUAUUCAACUUUCACCUUUCAUACCCAGCCCCAUCCAGUCACCAAGACAUGUGACUUGGUGUCCAAGACUAGACACUAACCCUUAGGAUUUGCUUUGCUUUUAAGAUUUUUUUUUUUUGACAUGGUGUCUCAUUAUGUUGCCCUGCCUGCCCUAGAACUUGCUACAUAGACCAACCUGCCUCCAACUCACAGAGAGCCACCUGCCUCUGCCUCCUGGUGUUGAGAUUAAAGGUGUGUGCUACCACACCUGG